ACGCACGCUGGCGGCGUGCUUCACCCCUGCCAGUCGCACGGAAAGGCCCUGCUUUUGUGGGGUGCUCGAGUGGCGAACGGGUGAGUAACACGUGAGUAACCUGCCCUUGACUUUGGGAUAACUUCAGGAAACUGGGGCUAAUACCGGAUAGGAGCUCCUGCUGCAUGGUGGGGGUUGGAAAGUUUCGGCGGUUGGGGAUGGACUCGCGGCUUAUCAGCUUGUUGGUGGGGUAGUGGCUUACCAAGGCUUUGACGGGUAGCCGGCCUGAGAGGGUGACCGGCCACAUUGGGACUGAGGGACGGCCCAGACUCCUACGGGAGGCAGCAGUGGGGAAUAUUGCACAAUGGGCGGAAGCCUGAUGCAGCAACGCCGCGUGCGGGAUGACGGCCUUCGGGUUGUAAACCGCUUUCGCCUGUGACGAAGCGUGAGUGACGGUAAUGGGUAAAGAAGCACCGGCUAACUACGUG
rnacentral:rRNA from 1 species